CCUUUGUGACAUACCUCAACUGUUGCUUCGGCGGGUAGUCGUCCCCUGAAAAGGACGUCUCCCGGCCCCCUCCCGUCCGCGGGUGGGGCGCCCGCCGGAGGAUAACCAAACUCUGAUUUAACGACGUUUCUUCUGAGUGACACAAGCAAAUAAUCAAAACUUUUAACAACGGAUCUCUUGGUUCUGGCAUCGAUGAAGAACGCAGCGAAAUGCGAUAAGUAAUGUGAAUUGCAGAAUUCAGUGAAUCAUCGAAUCUUUGAACGCACAUUGCGCCCGCCAGCAUUCUGGCGGGCAUGCCUGUUCGAGCGUCAUUUCAACCCUCAAGCUCUGCUUGGUGUUGGGGCUCUACGGUUGACGUAGGCCCUCAAAGGUAGUGGCGGACCCUCCCGGAGCCUCCUUUGCGUAGUAACAUUUCGUCUCGCAUUGGGAUUCAGAGGGACUCUUGCCGUAAAACCCCCAAUUUAUCUAAGGUUGACCUCGGAUCAGGUAGGAAUACCCGCUGAACUUAAGCAUAUCAAUA
rnacentral:rRNA from 1 species